CCUACGGGUGGCAGCAGUUAGGAAUAUUGGUCAAUUUUCUCCCGCCUGCCCCCGCCCCGUCCCGUGCGGGAUGACGGUCCUAUGGAUUGUAAACCUCUUUUGUCGGGGGGCAAGGCCCGCCACGUGUGGCGGGAAGGAGAGUACCCGAAGAAAAAGCAUCGGCUAACUCCGUGCCAGCAGCCGCGGUAAUACGGAGGAUGCGAGCGUUAUCCGGAUUUAUUGGGUUUAAAGGGUGCGUAGGCGGAAGGUUAAGUCAGCGGUCAAAUGUCGGUGCUCAACACCGGCCUGCCGUUGAAACUGGUCUUCUUGAGUGAGCGAGAAGUAUGCGGAAUGCGUGGUGUAGCGGUGAAAUGCAUAGAUAUCACGCAGAACUCCGAUUGCGAAGGCAGCAUACCGGCGCUCAACUGACGCUGAGGCACGAAAGCGUGGGGAUCGAACAGGAUUAGAUACCCCUGUAGUC
rnacentral:rRNA from 1 species